AUACGACCGUACCGCAAACCGACACUGGUGCGCGAGAUGAGUAUUCUAAGGCGCUUGAGAGAACUCAGGAGAAGGAACUCGGCAAAUUGACACCGUAACUUCGGAAGAAGGUGUGCCCUAUUAGUGUGUAGUGAACAACGAAGCAUGAAUGGGUUGCAAAAAAUCGGUGGCUGCGACUGUUUAUUAAAAACACAGCACUCUGCAAACACGAAAGUGGACGUAUAGGGUGUGACGCCUGCCCGGUGCUGGAAGAUUAAAUGAUGGGGUGCAAGCUCUUGAUUGAAGUCCCAGUAAACGGCGGCCGUAACGAUAACGGUCCUAAGGUAGCGAAAUUCCUUGUCGGGUAAGUUCCGACCUGCACGAAUGGCGUAACGAUGGCCACACUGUCUCCUCCUGAGACUCAGCGAAGUUGAAAUGUUUGUGAUGAUGCAAUCUCCCCGCGGAAAGACGGAAAGACCCCAUGAACCUUUACUGUAGCUUUGUAUUGGACUUUGAACAGAUCUGUGUAGGAUAGGUGGGAGGCUUUGAAGCAGGGUCGCUAGAUCUUGUGGAGCCAACGUUGAAAUACCACCCUGGUGUGUUUGAGGUUCUAACCUAGGUCCAUUAUCUGGAUCGGGGACAGUGCAUGGUAGGCAGUUUGACUGGGGCGGUCUCCUCCCAAAGCGUAACGGAGGAGUUCGAAGGUACGCUAGUUACGGUCGGACAUCGUGACGAUAGUGCAAUGGCAUAAGCGUGCUUAACUGCGAGACUGACAAGUCGAGCAGAUGCGAAAGCAGGACAUAGUGAUCCGGUGGUUCUGUAUGGAAGGGCCAUCGCUCAACGGAUAAAAGGUACUCUGGGGAUAACAGGCUGAUACCGCCCAAGAGUUCAUAUCGACGGCGGUGUUUGGCACCUCGAUGUCGGCUCAUCUCAUCCUGGGGCUGUAGCCGGUCCCAAGGGUAUGGCUGUUCGCCAUUUAAAGAGGUACGUGAGCUGGGUUUAAAACGUCGUGAGACAGUUUGGUCCCUAUCUUCCGUGGGCGCUGCAGAUUUGAGGAAGCCUGCUCCUAGUACGAGAGGACCGGAGUGGACACACCUCUGGUGUAUCGGUUGUCACGCCAGUGGCAUUGCCGAGUAGCUAAGUGUGGAAGAGAUAACCGCUGAAAGCAUCUAAGCGGGAAACUCGUUUCAAGAUGAGAUCUGCCGGGGCCUUGAGCCCCCUAAAGAGUCGUUCAAGACCAGGACGUUGAUAGGUCAGGUGUGGAAGCG
rnacentral:rRNA from 1 species